AGCAAAUUCUGCCUGGGGCUCAGGGCAUUAUUAAUUAACCAAAAGACACGAAGUGAACUUUUGGGUGUGGAAAACCAGCACCAGAUGCAAAUGCUACAUAGCUGCAUCGUAUGGUGUGUGCGGUGUUGCUGCAACAGCUGAGAGGCAACACGCCUGCUUUGACUUCUGCUGCUCUUAAUAGAUAAUCUUUAGCAAGCAGUAUAUUGGCAAAUCUGACACAGAGUGAAUUUGCAACAUUGACUCAAAAGACUUUCCUAACAUGAAGCAUCUUUAAUGCAUAUCAUUUCAACUCUUUCCUGUUUUUACUCUGCUCUCUUUCAGUGAAAAGGUCAAGAAAAGCAGUAGCUCAGUGGCUGAAUUUUUCUGAAGCAGGGAAAGUGGGGAAACCUCUUAAAGUGGUGUCUUAUUCAAUCCUGGAGCACAGGGAAAGAGUUUUAAUGCAAAAUACCAGAAAAAAAAGUCUGCAACAUCUCCCGUGAGAGUGGGGGAAAAAGGAGAUUAACAAUUGCAUCUUGAAACACUCAUGAUUUGAGGUCUCUGUUUUACUAACAUUUGAAACCAAUCUCUCUGUGUGCCUGCUUGGGCCCUGCAAUUGGCAAAAGUCAUUUUUCGGCAACAGAUAGAACAAGGAAUGAAUCAUUACUUUCUGCCUUUCCAUUAAAUUACCUAAACCACUACUCAUAAAUAUUGCUUUAUGUAUAGUACAGCAGCAUGAUUAUCUCAUUGCAUUGAUGGAACAGUGCUGGAAGUGAAUAUAAUUUUUCUUCUAUUACAUCUUUAAUGAGCUUCAAUUAAAAAUAGUGCGUUGGCGUGCCAGAGUAGAUGUGUUAUUCUCAGAACUUUAUUGAAGCCGUUUUGCCUGUUAGAUUUGGUUGACAUCGUGUUGUUCUGAAAACCAUGAUGGACAUGAUGUGAUCCUGAAAGCCUUAAGAAUUAAACAACAGAAGAUUGGAAAAAUCUGCUUUACUAGGUGAAAAUUGACAGGACAGUAAAAUUUGGUGACUGGAAAGAGUCAGGUCUGUACUGAGUGGAAAAGCUUGCUUUUCGUCUGUCAUUGAGGGUGAAUUUUUAAACAUAUAGUUAAAAAAAUAAUCACAAAACAGCAGGUUUCUGUAAAGCUCCAGUUAAGUCCCUGAUCACUUGACACCUGUGGCAGCAAGUCUGAGUCACAGAUAGCAAAAAGCUGUGAAGCCUAAUACUCUCAGUAUUCAAAAACACACCUACGUAGGAGUUUAAUUUCAAGUACCUCUUUUAGCUCUGGGUUCCCCCCCAACCCAACCCAACAAAUUUUAAGAGUCAUUCUUAGAAUUUUGCAGAGAAAAAUUUUCCCAGCACUUGUGGAUUUGUGAAGUAUUGACAUCACUCAGAGAUCAGAAAAUAGCUCUGUCAAUUUUAGCUUGACGGCAUUCCAUUCUCUGCUCCAAA
rnacentral:lncRNA from 1 species